CGUGAGGAGAGAGGAUGGAGGCAGUGGCUGCGAGCCCUCCCUGGGUGGCCAACGUGUGACAAGUGUGUGUGCUCUCAUCAAAACCUUGGAUUAUUCUGUGAUUCGGCGUCAUCUGCCGUAAGACCGACGUCAUGGUCGCCCUGGCGGGAAAAGCGAGCUCUCAAAGGUAUGUAAAACUGAUCUUUUUCAUUUUUACUUUUGUCAUUCAUACCCUUUUUUAUGGAGUGUUAAUUUUUGCUUGAUUUGGCAGUGGGUUAUGAGGACAUAAAGGGCGGUGUUGAUAGUUGUUUUUAAUUUUUCAGUAUAUUUUAAAAUUUUAUGUGUAGUGAUAAAUGAAUAGAAAACAUUAUUUUAGUGUU